ensembl:lncRNA CNTFR-AS1 CNTFR antisense RNA 1
GAGGGUGGCAGAGCCCAGCCACCAGGGUCUGCUCCAUGCCUGGUCCCUGGAGAGGCCCUCACCCUCUCUGCUUUCACCCAACCCGACUGACACGGAGUAGGAGGUGGGAAUCAUGCAGGCAGGGAGCUUAGGAAGCCUGGUUCAAGAUUGCUUUGAAUGGCAGGCCCCCUGCUGUGCUCCUGGGGAGAGAGCCUGAAACCUGGAUGCUCGGGAGCCCCUCAGAUCCGUCAUCUGUCCCCGACACCCCUGUGGUGAGCCUUGCCACUGGGCCCUGAGAAGCUCAGAGCAGUCGAGUCAGGGCAGUGGGACAUGACCCAGGUCAGAUGUGGCUUUUCCGUAAUUGUACACCAAUGAUCAAGAGAAAAUGAAGGAUUUUAAUAUAAUGGGCUGCAAAUGUAACAAACCCCCUGACCUUCAGUCUGAAGAGAGAGAACUAUCAACCACACAGAAGCAAAGAUCCAGAGAAAUACUGAGGGAUGCUACCAGACACUCAACCAGGGCCACUCUCCGAGAUUCCAGCCAGCCACACAGCAAAGAUGCUGGCCGGGGACACUGCCCCAAACCACCAGACAGAACCCCAAAGAAACAGCUCCACACACAGUGGAAGAUACACCAGAGACUGUUAGAAGGACCAUCAGACAAAGCCAAAGAGACAGGUAGAUGAAACCAGAUAACCAGCCAGAGAGGUGGUCAGAGAACAGCGACACAAUCAAAGGACCCACCAGAAACACUGUAAAGGACUCAGCUAGACCCAGGCAGAUACACUGCCGAAGGACGAGCAAGGAGCACAGGCAGUGAAGCCGUCGGCGACAAAGCCAGAGAGCUAAGACACUGUCAGAAACAGUGCCAGAGAAACCGUCUGACACACAAGCAGAGAAAUACCAGAGAAACUGAUAGACGCAAACAGGCGUACACCCAGAAAAACAGCUUGAGAGAAGAGCCAGAGCCACAGCCAGAUGCUCAGUCAGGAAGUAUCCACACCACUCCAAACACUGCCAGAGACACUGUCAGACACACAGUCAGACACACUGCCAGAGACACCGUUAUAAAGACUGCCAGAGAAACAGCCAGACACACAGCCAGAAAAACUGACAGAGACGCAGUGCCAGAUAUACCCCGAGAAAGUGCCAGAGACUCAGCUCCAGACAGUGCAGACAUAGCAUAACAGAGACAAAUGUGGGUAUCAGCCUGAAGCAGCUGCGGAGAGGCUGGAGAGCAAUGAACUUCCUGGGGCUUCCUGUGGGAGAGGGCUCCUGCCUGCCUUUUGCUACCCUUGACCCUCUCCAGGAAAGUCCCCUCCUCUGAGCCUGCUUUUCCUUUCCUCCCUGUCACAGCCACAGGUGCCCUGACUGCCCCUCCCUGGCACAGUAAAUCUCUCUGUGUCCUAAGUGGCCCC